rnacentral:rRNA from 1 species
UUAGGCGCCUAUAUCGGCGGUGUCUACCUCUUCCCAUUCCGAACAGAGAAGUCAAGCCCGCCAGAGCCGAUGGUAUUGCCGUAACAGGUGGGAGAGUAGGUCGGUGCCUUUU